AAAACCUCCCUGUCACUAAGCAUCAAGGCACUAAGCAGCGCCCACUCUACACUGUGAAGUUUAAUUUGGGGGCACGUCUAAUCUGGACUGUCUGAAAGUAGAACGGUCUUGCCACCUCUCUCAGCUGUGUGUUUGUUCCCAACUUGCCAGAGUCUACCAGUCUUGAACCACUUUAACCCGAAGCGUGAUAUCUUCCCCCAUAGCGACCGAGACACAAUGACCAUUUUAAGUGAUUCAGCAUCGAAAGAGUUAACGGCGCUCCUUCAGCUCAAAGCUAACAUUUUCAGGAAGGAUUCCCAGCUUCCUUAAAGGAAGAAAACCAUUUGUUAGGGGAGCAUCCUAGCCUCUGUGUCCCCCACCAACUAAGACCCCCACUCCCCCAUUUCUCGCCGUUCACUCCCUCCCUCCCGAUGCUCCCAUCAGCUUUGAGAGGCAGCAGAGUCUGGGCUACCGGCCGACGAGGUCGUAAAUAAACAACUGCUUUUACGGCAGGAGUUUUCUCCCACAACCAGAGUAAAGCCCUAUGGUUUUCAGGGAGAGGAGCGGGCGGUCAUUUCUUGUCUUGUUUCUUUUUUAAGGAAAGGGAAAAGGUUGAGAAAUGAUCAGGAAAGCGGUGAUCGGGAGACGGGCGAGCGAACCGGGGGGGGUGAGUGGACCCGGGGUGGCGACAGAAAGAGUUUUGUUGGAUGAGUAACCCGGGUGAAUUAAAACUGUGGGCUGACUCCGGCGCUGACUCGCCGGAUCUUGUUCGCCCUGAGCCUCCCCCGCGAACCGGUGCUGGGCUAAACUUGACACCCGUGUGCUGAGUGUGCAGUGGAAUACUGGCAACGAUUAGAGGCUCUGAUUUAAAGGCGGAAAAAGAAAAAGAUUCAAGGUCGUCGAGACUGGGCUUCGGUGAACACUAAGCGAACGCUAAGACAAGACAAGAAAACCCGUGCAAAAAGAUCCUCAAGAGAGAAAAAAAUAAUAAUUGCCUUACCAGACAUUAUAGGAUUAUUAGACUGCAGUUUGCUUCAAGAGAGAUGCUUUGAGUGGCCACAGCAAUAAAUCUUUGCAAAUUUGUUGACAAGAGUGCAAUAUUCUUAAAAUUAAGGCAAAGUGCUUCCUGCAGCACUGAAAUUUAAACAAUACACAAACAAAAUUAUUGCACUAUACCUUGGGAUAUAACUUAGAGUUUUGCAGCACACAUGCCGACCUUUUUAAAACCUCUACAAUCCAAUGAUUUGACAAUGAAUGAUUGCGCGAUACUUUCAAUUUGAAUAUUCAAAGCUUGGACAAAAAGAGUGCUCUCUUUUUGAAACACUGUGCAUUUCCAUCUAAUAAAGACUCCAAUGGAAUAAAAUACAAUGUAAAGUGUGAGACUUUAUGCAGGAUUGGGAACAUUUUUGUGAUUUUAGCAAGCUUUGGCCAGCGGAGUCUGGGACACUCAAAAUGUCCAUAAUUUUCGCCCUAGGAGCUCAUUUUCGCCCCAGAUCACUCACAACUUCAUAAGCAAGUUCACCGGCGACGUACUGCAGCUUUGGAUAUAGGUUAUAUUGUCGUUGUAUUGCAAAAAGUAACAUUUGUGCCGAAUUUGGUGCCAAACAUGGCAGAUUGUGGGCGUGGCUUGGAGCAGUCCUCAAUUCGACCAUACAGUGACAAUGAAAGCUGCAAAGUGGUGAUUCUCACGUUUACAUCUGCAUUGAUUUCAUUCUGUAGAAUCCUUAUUAAUAAAGAUGCUUCUCACUAAAUUAUGUAAUUAGAGGCAAUGACACUCCUUGCGGGCCCUGCAACUGUACCUGCAGAGUCUGAGAUCACCAUUCUGAAUUGUUCCAAAAUUAUUUUUCCGAAUUUAUAGGCGUUAACCUGCAAUGGAAGAUUUCGGGCCUUUCAACCGGAUUUCAAUUUACCAUCACACCACUGACGCUUAGACGCGGAGAGCAUAGCCUAGUAUUUUAAAUUCAUGCGUUCAUUGGUUUUAAUUUUGUUAUGGUGUAUAACCAAUAAAAAUACUGCUUUUGAAA